AUACCCCAUGAUGCUCAGGUCCGCCGCAUCUCCUGGGUCCGUGGGGUUGGCCGGUUGGUGCUGGUGUUAGUGGCCUCCUCGUACCGCAGCCAGUUGCCAGCCGGCCCCCAA
rnacentral:sRNA from 18 species